UUGUCGGGCUUGCUUUGGUUCCUUCUUUCAUGUCGUCGUUGCUUCUGCGUCUGGUGUGCAGCGCUAGGCAGAGGCUGGAGGUUGCCGGAAUUCAAUUUGGAGCAGAUCGGGUCUAGUGCUGCAGGCGGUCUGGGUAGCGAGGCCGAUCUGGGCUAUAGUCCGGCAAACUGGGAAGGCACAGAGGAAGAAGAAGAGGAGAGGAGGAGAGAGGUGGGUGGAGAAGGAGAGUUUUUUAAACUUUUAUUGCACACCCCGUGCACACCCCGUUUAAAUUCUCUGUUCAUUCCCGCGAAUUACAUUUCUGUUUCUGUUAUUCAUACCAUAGAAAAGUAAAGAAAGGCUCCAAGAAUCGAAGUUGAAUGACGAAGAAGAAGAAUCCUCAGCAAAGCUUCAUGAAAGAAAAAACAGAGGCACUGGGCAGUCUUCAAAUUGGAGUCAGGAAGAUGUGUUGUUGAUAAAAGGGGUGGAGCAGUAUGAAUAUAGAAACUGGUGGAAAAUUUCUUCCUUUUUGAAGGGAAGAAAGUUCAAGACAGCUUGUAAGCAGAGAUGGGACACUGUUCUUUUGCCACUGCUACAAACGGUAUGGAUAUGUGGACUCCCCAGGAGGAUAAGAAACUCAUCAGGCUGGGGAACAUGCUAAAACCCCAGUGGGGACUGUUGUAAAGGCCUUUUCGUAUCUGCGUAUAACAGCUUGAUGCGAGCAACGGUACAACAACCUGAUACAAAGCUGUCCCCAGGUGAAGCAUGCGGAGAGAUCACUUCCCAAGGCUGACUGUUCUCAAGUGAACCAGUCGGAGAAAUCAUUUCCCAAGGAUCCUACAGCAGAGGCAACGCAACCCCCUAUAAUUGAAGCCGCAAAUCACAAAAGCAGAAUGUUUUCUAGGUAUCUUCUUUCACGCAUUUAUUACUAGCUAGCUUAUUUGAAAUAAUUUUUUUUCUUGUAUUAACCUUUUUGUAACACAUUAGACUUCUCCUUGCUGAGAGGAAGGAGAAAGUGGUCCUUGGAGAUAGAAAUUGCAUGGUAAGUCCUCCAUAUCAAAUCCACUGGUAGA